rnacentral:lncRNA from 1 species
GGAGGCCGGCGGGGAGGCGGUGGCGGAGGCCGGGAAGGAGGUCGCCGGGGAGGGAAUGCAGCUGGCGGCCGAGGCGGGGCUCGCCGGCGACGCGUUCGUGCAGGCCGGCGUGGUCGCCGGCGCCGAGGCGCUCGGGGUCCUCGUCGGCUUGUCCGUCGUCAACGGCAUCCUCAAGCCCGAGGCCUAGAGGGUUAGUGGGCCCGGCCAGUAGUGUUUUUGCUGGCCCAUUCGUGUUGGGUUUAGUGCUUACAGAAAAUUCUGCCUAUCAUUAUUUGUUAACGACUUUGUGGUGUAAUGUACUGUAUUUUAGUAUGAUUUUAUAGAGUGGUGGAUGCUCGUGGUUCAACUAUGUUCUGUAGUAUGCAACAAGAUGAUGCAAAUUGCUUUGUAGGGUUCUCACAUUUUUAUUUUUAUUUUGCUUUGUUGGGAAUUUUGGCUAUAUUAAUGUAUAUAACUUACUGCACGUAAAACAUAUAUAGAACUUACAAUGUUUCAUGAUGCUAAGAGUAUGAUUGGACGCUUUGAAAACAUAACAGCUUGUGAUGGUUUGAUAAUAAAUUUGAAGGAAAUGAACCAAGUAGAAAUUGCUGUUUUUUUAGGGAAAAUGUGAGAUACAUUGAUCAUAUAUGUUUACAAUCUACAAUAAUAAUAUACGCUACAUUGGGUAGGACGCCAUCUGCCAAAAUGAGACACAAUGUUAACCUGGCUAGUUCAUGAGAUAGCCUAUCUUUGAUCUCUUUGAUAGCUAGAUGACGCCUUGCGUGUUGAUGUAGGAACCUUGCUAAAAAUGCCUAUAUAGUUGCUAAGAACAGCUAAAAACCAAUGGGAAGAAAAUGUAAGCUUUAAAACAAAAGCAUAUAGAAGGAGAAACAAAUUAGCUGCAGUUAAAAGAAUGCCAUUUUUCUAACGAAAUGUGAUGGAUGAACUUUAAUGCAAAAAAUAAUGUAUGACUAACAUGCACGAAUUGAUGAUGCGGCGGCAUUAUAUGCAUAGAGUAAUGAAAAAAAACUUUCUCUUUUCUAAAUAUAAAUCUUUUUAGAGAUUUCAAUAUAAACAUAGAGAUGUAUAUAGACAUAUUUUAAAGUGUAGAUUCAACCAUUUUGAUCCAUAUAAAAUUCAUAUUGAAAUCGCUAACAUGACUUAUAUUUAGGAACAAAUGCAGUAUAUAAUUUAUGGAUUGCAUACAUGUCUUGCCUAUGUGGCAUGGUUGCAUUUGCAUGGCUAGAAAAAAAUAGUGAGCUCUCUCUAUCAUCAAGCCCUCUUUACAGGUGUGAAAAAGGAUGUAUUGCCCCCUCUUCGUAUUAAUUGUCAAGUGAGCUCAAAAAAUAAUAUUGAUCAUCACAAUAACAUCUUAGGUUUUUAGAAAAUCAUGCCCAUCAUCUAUGAUUUGGAAUUCACAAAGAAAAACGAAAAAUUUGUGGACGAGUAUUAUGAUCAACUCGCUUCAAUUCUUAUAGUCGUCGCUAGGUAGUUAUGAAUCUGAAUAUAAUUUUUAUUAUUUUAGAUUUUUGUUAUAUUGUCAUGAUUGAAGAUGAGUAGAUCCCUAAAAAAUAAAAUAAUAUAUCAUCAUGGUAAACAAUGGUCUACCUUUAACUAGUUCAAUUUGAAAGAGAUUUAUGUCAUUUUGUAGUACAGUACCAAAUUCUCUCGUAUAUUUCUGACGUGGCCAACUCAGAAAAAUCAAUCAGAUUUGUGCCCAAUUCCAUUGGAAGGGAAGUGAUAGCGCGGGCCCACAGCCUUGUCGGCAAGGCGUAAAACAAAAUGGAAAAACGAAGGGAGGGAAAAAACCCAAAAAACACAGCCGUUUCAGAAAAAAUAAUGGCCGCCGCCGUGCUCCGCUGCCCGCUGCUCGCCUCGCCACUUCCGGCCGCCGGCGCCGGCGCCGCCUCCUGCUCCGGAUACUCCCGCCCAUCGCGCUCCCUUCUCCGGCGGCGAAGGUGCCCGAGUCCUCUGCUCGCCGUCUCCUCCGACUCCUCCAAGCCCCUCGCCUCCUCCUCGACCGGCGGCGGCGCCGACCCCGACGAGGAGCCCGUCCUGCCCCUCCUCCAGGAGCUCGCGGUACGCCACUCGCCGUAUCGCCUGCAUUGAUUUGAAGAUUUGGCGGAUUGGUUUUGAUUGCGCUGAUUUGUUGGUAGGAUUGCUUGGUGCUCCCGCCCAAAUUCCUCUCCCUGCUGCCCCGUGACCUCCGGCUCGAUGUAAGCAGUCACUACCCCCAUCUCAGCUCCGAUCAAAACUCAUCUUACUGUUUGGUUAUGAGCUAAGAUAAUCAGUUAAUAACUGAACACUCAGAGGAUUAUCACAGUGAGCUUCAGAAUGUGGCUGUCUAAAGCUGCCUAUCCUAUACUGAAGCCGAGGCUCACUACUUGUUCUUUCACUACUUUUAUUAGUUAGUGGCUAAACAAAUGUGGAACUUGGUUGGGUACAUGCCAAGCCAAGUCAUCACGUGGUUCAGAAUUAUGGCUAUGUGAUAUUGAACAACACAUACUGAAAUUGCAGCACUGCAGCGAGUUCGAACCGUAAAUACAACUUUAGUUUGGUCAAUCCAUCCAACAAUUUCUACUUGAUUUUUCUUGAAGCUCAAUGAUGCGGCAUUCGAUCUCUCCAACGGGCCUGUUCUUAACGAGGUAGGUACCGUGGAAUUCAUCUUUUGGAUACAAUUAACAUCGGUGUUCUGUUUUGGUGCAACCGUGUCCAACUAUUGUUGUUUGUUUGUCGAGAGACAGUGUGGCCAAGAGGUCGGUGAUCUGCUGCUGGACCUGGCAAAAGCAUGGGAGAUGGCUAACACAGAAGCAUCAAAUAACCUUGCCAAGCAGCUGCCGUCGAUGGCGCCCUACUUGACUGCCAGCGCUAAAUCAGGCACGGAUCUCAUCUGUAUAUUGUUAGGAUUUGUGUUCUACAUGACAUGGUUUCUUGACUGAAGGUUGUGUUCCUUGCUGUUUUCCUUACAUAGCGUAGCAUUUGGCAAGCGGCUGGCAUCAGCUGGAAAGAAGUUUCAGACUAUGGGACAGUAUGGCAAUGGAGAGUUCAAGAAGGUCAGCAACUCACUCACCAUCUAUCCAUAUCCUGUUCUUCUGUAAUUGCUUCAGGUACAUUUGAUUCAUGCUGGAUUACAAUUUGGUUAUGUCGCAAACAUGAGUCCAUGUUGUUACCAUCCAAUUGUGGAGAGUAAGUGGGUUAGUUCCAUGUCCAACAUCUGCCUACGAUUGGUUGCAGCAGGAUAAAAACAUCUUAAAGUGGGUGCAUUAGUUAGUGAUAGGAAUCUGACCUGUCGGGACAGAAGAAAACUGUCAGAUUCAUCGUGUCAUGAUGCUUCAGCAGCAUGGCAGCAUGCUCUAUCUCUUUGCUAAAUUUCCUUGCAUCCUGUUCUUGACUGUUUUCAAAAGUUGACUUGAUCCACACAUGUAUCUGCAAAUGUGACAUUCUUUGAUCGUAUUUGUAUAGAUUUCUGAGACAAUGAUCAAGAUCGGUAAGGCUCUGUCGAAACGCCCAGUGAUUCAAGCUGAAGUACAGGCCAUGAAAGAAAAAAGAAAGCUGAAGGUAAGUUUGCCUCUCUGCGCUUUGAUCACCUAUUCACCUUCAGGUGGACUGUGUACAUGGUUUAAUUGAAUACCCUUAUCUUGUCAGUUUGCAGGAGCUGAAUUCGAAUUGACAGCGCAAAAUGCGUACAUCGGUGCUGCAGUUGGACUGGUUUUCGGGUAAAAUCUAGACCCAUACGCCUGUACAUCAUCUCUUUGAGUUAAGCAAACUUGUAAAGAUAAUUGGUUUUAUUUUCUUGGUCAGCUGUUGUGCAUGAAUUAUAGUGCUACAUUUCCAUAAGCAACAUGCCACAUGUGACAAUUUUGACCAACAUCAAUAAAUAAGUAGAUGAAUCAAUAUAGUUACCAGCUUCCCACUUCCCAGAAUAUUUUACUGGAUACUUCUCAUGUUUGGGCUGCAUGCAUUUCACAUUACUACAUUUUUAUAUUGGAUUCGAUUUCAUGUAAGUGAUUCCUUGUAUUAUCCAGUAGUAUUAUCUUAACAACAGACAAGCUGUUGGCCAAUAGAAUCAUUCUAUGGAUUUGAUUCUAAUGGUGUCUGGUUAAUCAAGGACACAUGCACAUCAUGCUUCACAUAUUAAACCGACUGACACUCAAGCAUGUUCAUCACAUAAUCCGGCCGUGUGCACGCUCUUUCCCGGUGGCACAAAUAUUGAACCGAAUGCUUGUUUGACAUCCCACGUCUACCCUGUGAUGCAGGUUUUUCUCCUGGCAGCUGGCCCAAGGCGUGCAAAGCAGUCCAGAUGACAGCCAGGUAACUGAAGGCUACAUACACUGGUUCCAUUCAACUAUGUAUGUUUCACAGUCCAUCCUGCCACCUUCUCUGAAAGUUUUUCUUUUUCUUUCUGAUGCAGCCGCUCAAGGUCCCACUGCUGCUUCUCGGCUAUACUUCGACCGCCUUGUCCGCGGCCGCGGCAGUGGGGCUCGUGGUGCUGGCUCUGCAGAUGAACCCCGAGGACAAAUCGGACUAGCCGCACUUCGGUUUCUGAAAUUGUGGACCUCGUGUGGCGUCUAGCGGAAGACUGUGAUGGCACCCUGAGUUGAAUGAAGCCUCUCUUUUCCUCGAAAAUAAAAAGGAAACGGAAUGCGCGCUGAUGUGUGUACUGCGGAGCGUUAUGUACAUACAGAUAAUCAAGUGUUGUUUGUUCGUCUGAAAACAAGCCUGUGUUCUUCAAUCAAAUGAGAAAGCUGAAGCACCUUGGCCCUGACUAGUCGCAGCUUAUGCUAUUAAUUUUUCCGCAUUUUUGUGACUGUUGUUAUGGUUAGACUAUGAUGCACCCAAAAAAAAAAAACUACAAGGGUCGUUGAAAGCACGAAAAAUUCCCAUGUUCAAAGCAAGAAAAAAACCAGCUGGAUAUUGUGGUUCAUUUUGAAUGGUUUGAAGAUUGCUAACCACGUGAAUAUUAUGGGAUUUUACUAAAUGUACUCUCUCUAUACUACGUAUACAAAGAUAAGUAGUGUUCCUUUUCUUGUCGGCAGAGACAUCUUUGUCAAACUUCCCAUGUACGCGGAUACCUUCAGUCACCAAUAAUAUUUGACUAUGUGCAUCUGCAGAGGCUGGGUGUGUGUUCAUUAUGGUUAUAUUCUCUUGAUGAUUCAUUUUGAGUAGUAGAAUUCACCCUUUGUUGAGAAAUCACCAGUAAUAUGUUUGUUGCAUAUAGCGAGGCAGUAGCAGGUUUUUCCUCUGCAAUAAUGGUUUGAUCUUUUUCCUUUGUAAUGCACAAUAACUCUGCAAUUACUGUUACAGGGUCACCUUUCUAACCAAGAUCGCAAAUCAAUCUCAAAUAAAUACCAAUCUCUAAUAUGUACUUCACUAAUCAAAAUUAGUGUGGAACCACCAACAUAUUUUUACAUCUGGAUCAACGCACAGACAUUUACCUACUUUGGAAAAGUAGGCAUUGAUUUUGUUUGAAGUUAGAAAAAACAUUCACAAAGGUUAUGAAAAGCAUGACAUAUUCAUGUGGACGAAUCAUAACUCUUUUUCCGAAUUACUUGCAAUAAAAAUUGAUGUAUCUAGAAUUAGAGAUACGUUUAGAUAGAAAUUGAUGCAUCUAGAACUAGAGAUACGUGUAGAUACGUUCAUUUUUGUGACGAGUAAAUCUGGACGGAUGGAGUAAUAAAUUAUACUUCCACCGUUAAGCCCUUUAAAAAAUUCAAUAUGAAUUACAUAUAGAGCAAAAUGAAUGAAUCUACAUUAUAAAAUAUACAUGUACAUACAUCUGUAUGUUUUACGUAUUAAUUAAAUCUCUAAAAAAAACUUAUAUUACAAUAGGUGGGGGCAGGAGUACUUCAACGAUCUCUCUCUAAAAAAAAGUGGAACCACAGUUUUGUCUGAAAUUCCAAUGCUCAAUUUUGUCUGCUGCGAAGCUCAACUAUCUUUCUCGGAGGAUUUCCCGUUAGGAUAUCACAAGACGGAGAUCCUGCCAGCCUGCCCCCCCGCAAUAAUUUCGGGUAUCCCAAUCCAAACCCACAGUGAGCCCGCCCGGCCCGGCCCGGCCCAUUCCAGCAAGCAAAAACCCCACCACCCACCUCUCGCCCUCCUCUCCACUCUCCAGUCCACCUCCCUAUCCCCACCUCCUCCACAACCCCACCCCACCGCCGCAGCCCAUCCACCCCAACCUCAGCGGAAGAAGCGAUCGGCAAUGGCGUCCUCCACCCAGGGCCAGGUCAUCACCUGCAAAGGUAACCCCCUUCCGCGCUCCGCGCCGGCGGCGCUGUGGUGUGCGGCGGGUCCCCGUUUGUUCGGAACUGUUGCUUUGGUCUGAUCUGUAGCGGGUUCCGUGGUUUGCGCAGCCGCGGUGGCGUACGAGGCGAACAAGCCGCUGGUGGUCGAGGACGUGCAGGUGGCGCCGCCGCAGGCCGGCGAGGUCCGCAUCAAGAUCCUCUCCACCGCCCUCUGCCACACCGACUACUACACCUGGAGCGGCAAGGUCUCUCAUCCCCUCCCCUCAUCACUCCCGCUUCCUCCCUCCUCGAAUCUAGGUAUCGCUCGCCGCGGUUUUCCCGAGGCCUGUCGCCAGCGCCGGCACUGCUGGUAGUCACCGUCCCCACCCCACCCCACCCCACCCCAGCGACCUAUCCAGUGCUGGUACUUGGAUUUUUCCUCCCGUCAGUAUUGUUCCACUGGGUCACACGCUUGUGAAGCGUCUUCACAAGUUAGACUGCGACAACUGAGGCUGUUGCUUUUUUCCCUUCUUCUGGAUCAUUAUCAGUAGUCGCAGUGAGUCCGAAUAAUUGGGGAUUAAUUGACUUCUAUGUAACAUUGUACGCUCGUUCGUUGUUGUCGUGUGCGAAUGGCUCUACAGUGACCUGGUGUACAGAAGAAAAUGUUUGUAUGAACUUGAUAGCCGACUACAUGCUGUAGAGAUUUAUUAGAAUUUGUGGUCAUGUCAUGGAAGGAUUUCAUUUGCUAUGCAGGAUCCUGAGGGCCUCUUUCCUUGCAUUCUCGGCCACGAGGCUGCUGGGUAAGCCUACACAAUUUGUCUGAUUUCAAGUAUUAUCUCGCAUAGCUAAGAUAACUGUGCACUGAUAAGUUUGUUUUUGUCGCUGCUAAUAGAAUUGUUGAGAGUGUUGGCGAAGGAGUGACCGACGUGCAGCCCGGGGACCAUGUCAUUCCUUGCUACCAAGCGGAAUGCAAGGACUGCAAGAUGUGCAAGAGUGGGAAGACCAACCUCUGUGGCAAAGUUCGUGGCGCCACGGGGGUAGGGGUCAUGAUGAGCGACCGCAAGAGCCGCUUCUCGGUGAAUGGGAAGCCCAUUUACCAUUUCAUGGGGACGUCGACGUUCAGUCAGUACACUGUUGUGCAUGACGUCAGUGUUGCAAAGAUCAACCCGCAGGCGCCCCUUGAUAAGGUCUGCCUGCUCGGCUGUGGUGUUUCUACUGGUAGGUUCUAACCGGACUUUCCCUGUACAGAUCUGAUGUUUUAUUCAUCAGCAGUCUGUUUAGCCGUCACACAAGAUUUUUCUGUAAUUUCACAUGCUUUUAAACAAAUUUUGCGUGAAAUUCUCAUUGAUUUGUUUGAUAAUAUCUGUUGCUCUAUUGUUCCAAUGAUUUGCUUAUUUACAUUUCUAGUGCAACAGUUAGCAUCAAGUGGGUUGUUUUUCUGUUCUAUUUCUUUUGCUGGAAUCACUCUUCAUUUAGGGCCCUUUAUCUGAUAACAAAGCGUAAGACGUUACCAGUAAUUUAGAGAGCAUCAUUUUUGUCAUGUUGCUGCAAGGUUUCUACUCUUUUAUUGGUAAACUUUUUUUCUGAGGGUUGAUAUAUGAUUCCAUACUGUUGUUUACACCUGUUGUGUGCUGACAACAAUAUGUGUAGCAUCUUGACAUUCUCGUGACUAUCCUCUAAACAAUUUCCAAAAAUAGUUACUGUCUCAGUUUCUUUAUAUCUUACAAAUUACAAUCAUGUAGGCCUUGGAGCAGUAUGGAAUACUGCAAAGGUUGAAGCAGGUUCCGUUGUUGCUGUUUUUGGGCUUGGCACAGUUGGGCUUGCAGUAAGUAAAAUAUAUCUGGACAUACUUGUGUACCUGAGUGUGUAAACUAAGCUUUGACACCUGAACUUCCAUUUUUAGGUUGCUGAGGGGGCAAAAUCAGCUGGCGCUUCUCGGAUUAUUGGCAUUGACAUUGAUACCAAGAAGUUUGAUGUUGGUAUGAUUAUAGUUCAUAUCCUUUUCUUCAUUGUAAAUUCCGCCCCCAUGAAAGCUUAGAAACUACUAAUGGUAUGUUAAUUUUCCUCUUAAGCUGCAUGAUCUUUUUGUUCAACUGCUGAAAGAGAGUAAUUCACAUUCGUGUCUCUGCCAGAAGACAGAAGUUUUUUUUUUCCUGUGCAUGCUCUUUGUGAAAGCGUUUUUAAAAUUUCUGCUUGCUUUGAAAAGAAACUGAAACUGAUCUCUAAUAUAGUUGUUGCUUGGAUUAAAUCCCACAUAUAGUAUCUAGAAUUCAGUUAAUAUAAACCAGAAGUUUCCUUGACUUUUUUAUGCCUUCCUUAAGUGCACGGGGCUCCUUAAUGAAUCACAUUGGUUUCUAAGUUCAUUCAGAUCUAUAUACCAUGAGUCUACUGUUCUCUCGUGGUAAUAUGCUGGUAUGUAUUACAAAUGUAUCAUUGCAAACUUGAUGUGAUUUACUUGUAAAUAUUGAUCACAUUGCCUUUUAGUACUGUGGAUCACAUUGCAAACUGGAUGCUACUUGUUAAUAUGCAGCAAUGAAGUUUUGUAUUGUAAUUCUGUCUUCUUUACUUGCUGUUUGCAGCUAAGAACUUUGGAGUCACAGAGUUUGUGAACCCAAAAGACCAUGACAAACCAAUCCAGCAGGUCCUAGUUGACCUUACAGAUGGUGGUGUGGAUUACAGUUUUGAGUGCAUCGGAAAUGUUUCUAUCAUGAGGGCUGCACUCGAAUGCUGCCACAAGGUAAGCUGGAGUUGCAGCUUGUGUAUAUGGCAUGUUCAUGAAUUUUUCGGACUCAUCUUACAUACUCCCUCCGUCCGGAAAUACUUGUCCUAAAAAUGUAUAAAAAGGAUGUAUCUAUAACUAAAAUAAGUCUAGAUACAUCUAUUUCUAGGACAAGUAUUUCCGGAGGGAGUAUUAUUCACUACUAUUCGUAGGAUAACUUACCUAGACCAGUUUAGAGUCCUGAUAUAAUCUAUCAUCGAAUAUCUGUUUCUAAAUAAGUGGAAGAUGUUUGAGCCGAAACGAAAGAGUUUAAAUGCGUUGUAAUAUGUUAUAUACCUGUUUUUAUAUGGAAAUAUGUUUCUUACUGUUUCAAAAUUCUUUCUUACAGAUCCCUUUCAUGAUUUUCAGCACCCCUGAAGUACAAUAUCAUGUCUUGACUGAUUUUUUUUCUUAACUAUAGGGCUGGGGUACCUCCGUUGUCGUUGGUGUAGCUGCGUCUGGCCAGGAGAUUUCCACACGGCCAUUCCAGCUCGUCACUGGCCGUGUCUGGAAGGGAACAGCUUUCGGUGGCUUCAAGAGCCGAAGCCAGGUUCCAUGGCUCGUUGAGAAGUACAUGAACAAGGUAUCAAUCAUACUCUCUCGAACAGAAAUGAUCCGCAAGUUAAGAGGAGUUUUCUUCCAUCUGAAACAAAACUUGACCACCCAUCAUCCACAUCCACAGGAAAUCAAGGUGGACGAGUACAUCACCCACAACAUGAGCCUUACCGACAUCAACAAGGCAUUUGACCUGCUGCAUGAAGGCGGCUGCCUGCGGUGCGUGCUGGCGAUGGAGCACUGAGGAUCCUGCUAUGCGUCUCUGCCUGCUUCGAAGCCGAGCAGUUUGUGUCGUGUGAAAUUGUAAUGCAGAUCUAUCCUCCGCCCUGGGACUAUAGAACUCGUUCAGCCCCCUUUGGCCUAGAAACUCUUGAACACGAACUGCUGCUAUAAUAAGAUGUUGUGUUGGAUGGUUGCCUGGUUGGGGUCGUUACUGCUGGUAGUAUGUUUUACUUCUUGACUCACAUCUCUAUUGGCUCUGCAAAUAUGUGCUGCAACUGCAACUUAGGGUCAGUUCUUUUGGGGAUUAUGGGUGGCUGUCAAAAUAAGCUGCUCACUACCUUUUUUAUUCUAGCAGCCUCGGUCUGGAAUUAACUGUCGUUGAAAUGAGUGUAUACUAGUUAAUCCUUAAUUAAUAGGCUUUUAAAAUAAAAUUUUAAGUUGGUCUGUCAAAAUAAGCUAAGUUGGUAGGAUGCAGCUUAUUUUGACAGCCACUGAUAAGCCCCCCCCAAAAAUUGGCUUUUAACCUAUUCAAAUAUCAGCUUGAAAUCACCAAAACUAUUUUGUCAGAAAACUAGAGUAUAAGUGAUAUAGAAAGCUAAAAAAACAGGUCUGCAUAUCUGUAAGGUAAUAAUUCAAAAAAUGUAAAAUUCGAGCCAAAACAGAUUUAACAGUUUUGGAAUAUAUUGGCCAGUAAAACAAUAGCGCAUAAGAUUAUAGGAUGGCACAGGAAAAUUAAAUCCACAUACAUUUUACUCCCCUGUUCCUAAAUAUAAGUCUUCUUAGAAAUUCUAAAUAUAAGUUUCUUUAGAGAUUUCACUACUACAUGUGAAUGUAUAUAGACAUAUUUUAAUGUAUAGAUUCAUUCAUUUUGCUCCGUAUGUAGCCUGUAGUGAUUUUUAAAAAAAUAUAUAUAUAUAUUUAGGAACAAAGGGAUUAGUAAUCAGUACACAUCCAGUAAUGAGCAAAUGGUACACUGGCUUGUUUGAUAAAAAGAAGCACAUACUAUUCUGAUGCUUAUAGAACGACGAUGCAAAUAUUUUGCAGUAUCAAAACUUAAUAGUAUGGUAAUAUGAGCCAAAGCAGAUUUCACAUUUGGGGAAAGAUUCGACAGUGAACGAUACACAAGUUUAUAGUAUGAUGUAGGGAAAAUAAAUAUACAUCACAUCCCAGUAUACAGCUACGGUAGUACCACUACCACGGCAGUGAACAAAUUGUACAUUGGCUUGUUUGAUAAAGGAGCUUAGGGUAUUUUGAUGCUUAAGCAAAGCCUGUCGGCACUGGCAAAGUUCCUCUGUUGCAUUGCGCGAAGAAUGACGGAUGCCAAGGUUGAAUUCUGGUGUCAAAACUUCUGGAGCCAUGAAGGCUCUUGAUAUCUCAUUUGGCUUCAGUAAACCUCAGAGAUGUUCCAUUUCACUGCUUCUCCUCGACUUGGACAUUGCUGCCUGCUAAUCAGAAUUGAUGAAUAUAAAUGACCACAACACCAAUAUAACACACAAUAGAAAUUUUGUGUCGACACGAAUGAUCAUGCAGGAUUUUGUUAAUAAAUAAACCUCGCUGUGUGCUGUGUUGUUAUGCAGGAUUUUGUGUCAACACAGUUAUAACACACAGUAGCUGUUCUGCCUCUCUGGAAACUAGUUAAAGCUAUAACAACAACAUCAAGAGAACCUUGCUGCAUUAUAAUAUGCUGUUAGUGUUAGAUAUGAGCACAGCUCAGAGAUGCCUAGGUUUUCUUGAAACGUUUCUUUUUUUCAUUUCACUACUGCGUUUCCGCAAAAGAACAAUACAACUCACUGAAAUUACCAUGCAAAAAUUAGGGCAGGAAUUGUAUGGAUCUCUUUCUGUGGCAAGAUGUAUAUCUAUUCACAGCUUGUCAACUUUCUUUAAACUGGUCACUUAAACAUAUGGAAAUGUCACGGACACUGACAAACACCAGAUGCAAGAAAUAUUAACAUAUGGAAUCUGUGUGAUAAUGUGCAAGGAAAUGACAGAACCAAAUUGUACGUAAGCUACUAUGUAAAACUAAUUACCAAUUCGAACUCGCGGCUUUCUCUCGCCGGUGGAGGGCUUCUUCUUCAUGUAGCAGCCAUUCCAAUCACCCCCAUCCUGUGAAUAGUAAUCCAUAGGGUACUCCCCUCCAAAAUCAUCUCCACCACAAUCACCAUUACUACAAUCACCAUUUCCACAAGUUCCUGAUCCUGAACAGCACCCACUACCACCUGGACCGCCGCCAUUUUGCCCACUCCCCUUCUCCCACCACCCAGAAACAUACCCUAGUGCAACAUCAAACUCAAAUGUUGUCAGCACUGGCCUCUUGAACCCCUCCCCCCAAUCGAUCGACAACCGAGGACACGCAAUCUGCACCCAUGCAUCCACAGAAUCCCCGAAUAGCUCCAUCCUUGUCGGGGAGAGCUCCGACAUGAGCACCACCGUGUGCUCCAACCCUUUCUCCUCCAGAUGCUCUACCACCCGGUCAAGAACCUUUAAGCUCCCCUGCCGGCCUAGCGUGCCGAGCACAACCCCCCAGCUCUUGGCCUUCCUCGCCGCCAGCACCGCCUCCUUCCUCGCCUGCUUCAUCCCAACAUGGUCAUACUCCUCCAGCACAAGCACACCAAGAAAGGGAUCGAACCGGUAGGCCUUCACCGCAGGGUUGGCAAUCAUGAAGGCUUCGAGGUGGAACCUGCCGUCUGCGACGAACACCACCACGGCCACCCCCUCCGCCUUCUUCAGCGUGGGCGCGGUGCACCCGAGGAUCUCGCCGGCGGAGAGCGGCUUCGCCUGCGGCACGAGGAUGUCGCGGUAGCCGUCCCGCGUUAGCAUCUCCCGCGCGGCGUGCACCGCUGCGAUGAACUGCACGGUGCCGGCGAGGGCGAGGCGAGGCGCGGUGGCGGGGUCUGGGAAGGCGCCGCGGAUGGCAGCGGCGAGGCGGAGCGCGUCGACGCGGAUCUCGACGAAGACGUAGAGCACGGGGAGGAGCGAUGAUGUGACGGGGACGAGGCAGGAGUGGCCGUAGUGGACGAGGAGGUCGGCGGCGAGGGCCUUGGCGGGGCGGUCGCCGAGGCAGCAGGCGCCGUAGGUGGGGUCGGCGAGGAUGAGUACGUCGUUGGAGGGGUCCUCGGCGAGGAAGGGGCCGAGGAGGUGGGAGAUGGGCAGCGAGAAGAGGAGCAGGCCCUCCGGGAGCUGCAGCGCGGCGCGGCGCGCGCCGGAAGAGCGGAUGCGGUGCGCCGUCUUGUGGAGCUCGAAGUUGUAGGCGGCCGGGAGGAGCGAGGUGGCGGCGGCGGCGAGGGUGGGGUCGUUGAGGAUGGAGGCCGGGAUCGGGGUGUGGAUGAACCGCUUGGGGGCAGGCUUCUUCUUGGCGCUGCUCUGGGGCGCGUCUACCGCGGUGACGGCGAGCGAGGUUGAGGGGUCGCCGGCGUCCAUGGCGGCGGCGGCGGCGGCGGCGGCGUCGGCUGCAGGUGGGGAGAGACGGGAAGAGGGGUUUGCUUAGCAGUACGAGAGGACGACACGGAGACUCAGCAUAAAGACAAGGCCCAUCCACUCUGCGGAAAAUGCAAAUCCCUGCCGAACAAUGGGCCAAAAUGAUCUUCUUUGGGCCCAGUUUAACUCAUCGUCUUCUUCCUUCCUUCCCAUUGUCAUUCUUUCCGUAAAAAAUAGUAUCCUAUUGUAAUUCUUCGAGAAAAAAACUAUUUUCAUUUUUGAAGAAACUUUCAAUUCAUUCAUAAUCGCUCUUCCCUCACUAGAGUCGAGCAAACUUUGUUUCAGUAGACAGUCAGAAAUUCAUCGCGCUAAGGCUUCAAGGACCAGCAAAUUGGAAGGAUCAAAUCUGUAAACACACGGAUGAAGACAUGAUCUAAACGGAUCCACCGAAGACCAGCACACAUCGAAUCCCGCGAGAUCAGACAAAGACAAAUCUUGACCCACCAUCUAACAAUGUUGGACGCGCCACCAGCACGGGGAUCAAACAUGGGCGACAUUAUUCCUACUAAAGGGUAUCGUUGCAGCCACACAACCACAACCAAGACGCUGGAGUUAACAAGAAUUCAUUAGGAAAAUCCCACCUGACCUCAUAGCUUCAAAUAGUUUAUCCUUGUCAUCACCCGAUAUUAGCUUUACCCAAUCCUGGCCGCUGUCGCCAUAGUUUUCCUACAUGUCACCGCCUUAGUCCCCCCUUCUUUUCCUUAUCCGGUGGCCUCGUUAUCGGGAAGAGGAGCGAGGCUCGAUUACCUUAUUUUCUUUUCCUUAGGUUUUUGUUCCCUUGGCAACAUCGACUAGUUGUUCGCAGCAUGGCAUGUUGUAAUAAGGUUUCUCUGAUUUCUUCCUAACUCGACGACAUCUGAUCCGGCAUCGACGAAGGCCUGUGAGAGUUUGUGUCCUUGGAUCCGUUGGUUCCCUUAAGAUAUUGGCAAUUUGUGUGUCUUUCAAGGAGAGUUAUUGGUUGGCUAUUAGUGCAGUGACUUCCACAUCUUCUUCUUUGUUGUUCUAUGACAUAGUAUGAUUUCUUCAACCCUCUGAGCUCGUGGCGAUGGAUUACAAGUUUGUACCACGUGGUGUGAUGCUCCAAACGACACUACUUCAAUGACUUAUAAAUCUCAUGUCACAGACGAGUGACUAUUGCAGUCUUCAAAGUCUGGUAUGGCGAGAGCAUUUGUAAGUGUCCCUAUCACUUAUUGUUGGUUUAUUACAACUUUCAAUCUCCAUCACAUGUCGGAUGAUGUGCGAUCGAGGAUGAAGAAGGUUAGUAUGAUUUUUAGUGUAAUUUAAUUUUUACUGAUCGUUCUGCAUUGAGUUGUCUUUACAUUUUACUGGUUUCUGUUUCCUUGAUAUUAAUCAAAUUUAAGAUGUCCUUGGGUGUGUUUAUUAAGGAAAAGAAUAGUACAUGAUAUGUACAUCCUGCUCUUGCCAAUUUCAACCAAUCUCCUUUAUAUGGUUGUUGUUUUCUUGAAUUUUUUUCUCAGUCUAUUCUCUAUCGAUUGUCAGCUUUCUUUGGUUUAUUGACUGAGUUUUCUUUUAUUUUUUACAUUUUUUCUUCUAUUUUCUCUUCCCUUUUUCUCCUUCUCAUUUUUAUUUUUUGCCAGAUUUUACUAAUGAACCCAAAAAAAUACAUAAACAUUUUUCAAAUAGACUGUAAACAUUUUUGCUAAAAUGGAAAUAUUUUUUAAUACAUCUUGGCUAUUUUAAAAACAUUAUUAUUAUUUUGGAAAAGGAGGAAAGACCCCCGCCUCUGCAUCAUCACAAUGCAUGUGGCCAAUUUCCAAAACAUUAUAAUCAUUUUCAGAUACAUGAUGAAAUUGUUUGAUAAACAUUUAAUUUUUUUCACAUACUGUUAACAUUCUAUAAAUAGAUGAUGAUUUUCUAAAUAAAGUUCAUUAUUUUUUUUAGAAAAAAUCACAAAAAUUAAAAUAAUAUAAUAAAGUUUAAUUCACAUGUUUAUGGAAUAAUGUUUGUAUUUGAUAAAAUAAAGCCAUAAAAAUCACUAGAGCCGAAGUACAGGGUGAGCCCAAACUAGGCCAUUCAUCCCAUAAUGAUGUGUCAUGUGCGCCAUCCCCCUCUGUGUAUGUUCACUCCCCAAAAGCAUGUAAGUCUGACUCCGGAUCCAAAGGUCGCGUGUUCGAUUGAUUGAUGUCGGGUUCAAUACCCUCAGUGUCUUGUUUUCUGAAUUCACUCACAUAAUAUUGUGGCUUGGAUGAACUACCUUCACCAAAUUCUUCUAGAUAUAUGGAGAUUGAAUCAGAUGUCCCUCCCCGUGGGCAAACGAUUUAUGCAUGACUUGCACUGUCGAUGUUUUUUUAGUACGUAUUUUUGCGCGUUUCUCCAAUGCUUCAUGCUUAAUUUGUUUGAUUUUCAAAUCAGACAGAUGCAAAACCAGCGGGGUCAUGAUAACAUCAUCACCUUGUCUAAGCUAGUACUCGCUCCGUUCUAAAAUAAGUGCUUCAACCUUAAUACAUCUUUACACUAACGGUAAUACAAAGUUAAGACACUUAUUUUAAGACGGAGGGAGUACCUGUGAUGUUUCGAUAAAAUGGUAUCUUAGACGGCAAAUGAUAAAGAAUAUGCUUGUCGAGAAGUUGCAUAUGAUAUAUGAAAAACAUCAUAGAUAGUGCAAGUAAUCGUGCUAAUUCAUGUAGAGUUUCUAUGGAUUGGAAGAUGGUACUGCAGAACUUCGGCAAGUCAGAUGACCAUGAAGACAUUGGGUAAAAAAAAUUGAUCUUCAGCUACAACCAGCAAAGAAGAAGAUAAAAUUAUUGCUUAGAGCAUAUCUAGCAGAUCCGCAAAGCGGCAAAAUCAUAUUUAACGCACUCAGCGUCAAACUGUCGACCGAUCGCCUGUGAUCGUUUAGAUUGGGCCGACCCAUUUAAACAUUUUCAGCUUUCCCAGUUUACGAAACCUCCUAAACGUUCCCUGUUGGCUCUUUUACAGUUUUGAGAAAAUUCUAGAAGGUUCCUGAGCCGGAUAUUUUUUUGCUAUAUUUCUCUUCCUUUUUUUUCUGUUUCUCUUUUGCUCAUUUCUUUCUCAAAUUAUUUUAUUUUCUAAUAUAUUUUUUUGCAUUUUCGAAAAUUUGUUCGUGUUUCAGUAAGUGUUCAAGAAUUUCAAUAAAUGUUUGUAUUUUCAAAAUAUGUUUGCAUUUUUCAUAAAUUUGUUUGCUUUUUCAAAAAUUGUUCAUAGAUUCAGAAAUUGUUCAUAUUUUCAAAAAAACGUUCAGUUCACAAAUACAAAAAAAUGAUCGCACUUUACAAAAUAUGUUCUUGUUUUUUUUAAAAUUACAAAUUUUAAAAAGUUUAUAUUUCCAAAAUAUCUUUGCAUUAAAAAAUUGGUGGCAAUUUAUAAAUGUUAUCGAACCAUCUAGAAAAUCACACAAAUUUCCGUCUUCAGCGCAUAUACAUAAAAUGGCAAAAACACUUGUAUCCAACACGGACAAGAGUGUUGUCAAUCCCCUUAAACUCCUUACUUGCAAAUAAUAAGUAGUGUAGUUGGAUAGUUUGAUAAAUAUAAAUUAAACAUAAAUAAAAAAGUAAAUAAAGACAACAAGCUAUUUUGAGUUUUUUUAUUUAUAUUUGUGAAUAGACCCGGUCCAUAGUUUUCGUUAGAGACUCGGCCGACCCCUUGAGGGUCCUUGGACCCCAAGGCAAGGCCCCCCUCCCUCCCACCUAUAUAUACGGAGGUUUUAGGGCUAAUUUGAGACGACUUUUCCACGGCAGCCCGACCACAUACCUCCACGGUUUUUCCUCUAGAUCGCGUUUCUGCGAAGCUCGGGCGGAGCCCUGCUGAGACAAGGUCAUCACCAACCUCCGGAGCACCGUCACGCUGCCGGAGAACUCUUCUACCUCUCCGUCUCUCUUGCUGGAUCAAGAAGGCCGAGAUCAUCGUCGAGGUGUACGUGUGCUGAACGCGGAGGUGCCGUCCGUUCGGUACUAGAUCGUGCGACUGAUCGCGGGAUUGUUCGCGGGGCGAAUCGAGGGACGUGAGGACGCUCCACUACAUCAACCGCGUUCUCUAACGCUUCUGCUGUACGGUCUACAAGGGUACGUAGAUCACUCAUCCCCUCUCGUAGAUGGACAUCACCAUGAUAGGUCUUCGUGCGCGUAGGAAAUUUUUUGUUUCCCAUGCGACGUUCCCCAACAGUGUGGUGGUGGCUUCGGCAAUGGUGGUGGUGGUAGGGUGGCUUCGGCAAUGGUGGUGGUAGUGGUGGUGGCUUCGACAAUGGUGAUGGUGGUAGGGUGGCUUCGGCAAUGGUGAUGGUGGUAGGGUGGCUUCGGCAAUGGCGAUGGUGGUAGGGUGGCUUCCGCAAGGGUGGUGGUGGUGGCGGCUUCGGCAAUGGUGGUGGUGGUAGGGUGGCUUCGGCAAUGGUGGUGGUAGUGGUGGUGGCUUCGACAAUGGUGGUGGUGGUGUCUUCGACAAUGGUGGUGGUGCUUCGGCAAGCCAUGUCAAUGGUGGUGAUGAUGGCCACACUCAAUCUCCGGUCCAAGUCCAUAAAGGUGGUGGUGCGAGCUCUCCGGUUGAAGUUCGUGAAGGUGAUGGCGCGAGCUCUCCGGUCAAUGUUGGUGAUGGAGCUUGAUUGAUCUAUGUGAUUUGUGCAUCUUUUGCCUAGUUUAUCGUGCAUACAUGAAGCUCAUCAUUUUGGAUGUGAUGAACUAGUAUGAUGAUCUACUAGCUAGUAAUGUAUAUAUAUGAAAAUGAUGCACCUGUCAUGAUAAACUUGAUAAUAUUUGCAUAUAAUUGUAUUUGCGGAACAACGAGUCCUCCGACGCAGAAUAGAUCCCGCAAACGCGUCUUGCAUAACAUCUACGGGACGGGUUUACGGAAACUGUUCCGUCAGAGGGCUCGUCGUCCCAUAAAAUGUUUUUGCGGGAUCUCUCAAACCAUUUUUUCGGGCCGGCCGUUUGCGGAGUUUGCUAGAGAUGUUUUUUUUGCUCAUGUCAACAUGCAAAGCUUACUAUUGUGCUCUCGCCUUGGCUAAUAUUCUUCGUACUAAAUUAUUUAUUUUAGAUUUACCUGGAUGUGAAUGUAUCAUGACAAAGGAAGUAGCUGACUGGAUACAUUCUCUACCAUUUUUGCUGAACCAGCAGCAAACCUCUGGACUGGAGAAGGCCCAUUCUCCUUCUGGAGCGCCAGAAAUGUCUCAACCGUGGCACCUCACGCAGGAGCAGGAGAACAAACUAAAGAUGGCGCCGAGGGAAGCGCGAGACUGGCCGUCGUUGGCAGGGCACGUCUCAAACUCUCCAUCAACCUGGAGAACCACAUGAGGCCACGACCACAUGCUGCACCAGCUCCUUAAUUUAAGCUCCAAAGGAACUGUUAAUUGGAAAAAAUUCAGCCUAUAAUCUAUGAUAUGAUAAUGAAGCUACAGCGUACUUCUCUGUAGCUUAAGUCCCUAAUCUACCAUUAAUGUCGCUCUUGUAGAUUGGUCAGCGAGCAACAACACACCGGAUCCGUGGCGCAAUGGUAGCGCGUCUGACUCCAGAUCAGAAGGUUGCGUGUUCGAUUCACGUCGGGUUCAAAGCCCCGAUCCUAUUCCGGUCAUUUUAACUUUUAUUUUUACUUUAUUUUUAUUUCUAUUUUUAUUUUUGUUUCUCUAGCAGGCGCUUUGUACCCCUGAUGUUGUAUUAAAUUACCCAAUAUGCGACCCAUAAAUGAAGGAAACGAUUUGAUUUUGGAAUCUGUCAAAGUCGCCGUCCGUAUCAGUACUUAAAUGGCGAGGCGAGACCUUUGAAAGCAACAACAGCUAGCUUGGCUUAUUGGCUUUAGUGCAGCUACACCAUUCACGAAUCCCAGGUUUGAUUCCUGAACAACACCUUUUUUAUCGGAUUUUCUGUUUUAUUAUUUCAAUUUGUUUGUUGCCUUCUUUUAAUUAACUUGAAACUUUUCAAAAUUCCAAUUUUAAAAGUUUCAAGUUUUGAAAAACUGUUUGCAUAUUAUAAAAGAAUCCACAAUUUUCAAAAAUAUAUUCUUUUAUUUAAUUCGGAACUUUUCAAUAUUCCAAUUUUAAAAGUUUUGAGUUUUGAAAAAAAUGUUUGCAUAUUAUAAAAGAAUCCACAAUUUCCAAAAAUAUAUACAGAAAAUAUAGAACAUUCAUGAUUUGAAAAUGAUCAUGUAUUCAAAACAUAGAAAAAAUGUUCAGGAAAUCAUAAAAUGUCUAGAAAUUCAAAAGAAGGAUCAGGAAAUCAUAAAUUGUUUGCGGAAUUCAAAAUUGUUUAUGAUUUUCAAAAAACAGUUUGCAUAUUAUAAAAUAAUUCACAAUUUUGACAAAUAUAUUCUGGAAAAUAUAAAAUGUUUCUUAUUUCAAUUUAUUUUUCUUCUAUAAAUUAAUUCAGAAUUUUUCAAAAUUCUGUAUUUAAAAGGUUUUGAGUUUUGGAAAAACGAAUCAUGAAAUCAUAAAAUGUUUGUAAUUUAAAUAAACUUUCAGGAAAACAUAAAAUGAUCACGGACUAAAAAAUGUUGAUGAUUUUAAAGAACUGUUUCGAUAUCGUAAAAGAAUUCACAAUUUUGAAAAAUAUAUUCAUCCAAUAUAAAACAUUCAAGAUUUUGAAAAUGAUGAUGUAUUCAAAACAUAUCCAUGAAUUCAAAGAAAAUGUGUGUGACAUUUAUAAAAUGUUACAAAAUUUGAUAACAUGGACAGCGGGGCCAUCAUCAACGAGGAUGGCAAAAAAAAAUAAGUGGUAAUAUGAUGGGCCAUCAUGGUAAAAUAGAAAAAUAGAGAACGCUCAUAUGUCAGGAUAUUGAGCCAUACUUAUUUGGCUACGACGUAAUAUUUUGGUUUACCGUUGCAACGCACGGGACUGUAAACCAAAUAGAGUGCAUUUAAUACCGCAUGACAGAACAACCUUUUUACAAACACGCAAUCAUCAAAUAAGCAAGCGCACUCCCCCCCCCCCCCCNNNNNNNNNNNNNNNNNNNNNNNNNNNNNNNNNNNNNNNNNNNNNNNNNNNNNNNNNNNNNNNNNNNNNNNNNNNNNNNNNNNNNNNNNNNNNNNNNNNNNNNNNNNNNNNNNNNNNNNNNNNNNNNNNNAACAGCUCCUCCUCGACCAUCAUGUUUACGUAAGGAAAGCAAUGGCAUUUGCACCAUCUACGGGGCUAUUCUUCCUUUUCCUCUAGGCUCACACCUAUAAAGCGGAUUCGGACCUGCAAAUGCACUUGCAAGCUUAAUGCCUUUGCAUAGCUCCUCCAGAAUGAUAGACCCAGCACCACUGGCAUGCUUCUUAGGCAUAACAUUCAAUGUCACCGAGGAUUCGAACUGCGUGCUCUGCAACCCAGAAGAACUGAAAACCAGGGAUUGUCUUUUCUGGAGCUGCCCCUUCAACACCUUAUAUGUGGAGUGGCGUUGAACUGUUUAUAUGUGGACACCAACUCAGGUACACAGUAUCUUCUUUGAUUGGCCAUGACCCACUUCCCCCUUAAUUGCCUCCCCCAACCCCAACCCCUUGCGGUCACUCUAUGUUGACCGUGUAGAUACCUUCUUGUAAGGUUUAAUAAAAAGGAAAUAAGGAAGGGUGACAGAGAAGAAAUAAAGGAAAAACGGACACGAGGUGAUAGAAAAAGGAAAAUGAUGCGCACGGUAAAAGAAAUUAAGGGGGCUGAAGGAAUACAUAUUAAAAUAAUUGAUGCACAGAUACUUUGAACUUUUUAGCUUGGUGGAAAAGAUGGAGAAAAAAAAUCAAAAAUCGAAAUGUAUUUUUAAUGGUAAAAAAGUCACACAAUGUUGCUUGGUGUGCAUGAAGAUUUUUAUUAACAAUAUGUUGUCUAUACAUCCGUUGCAACGCACGAACCCUUUUGGUAGUUUUUUCCAACUGUCUAAGCAUAUAUUUUUUUGUACACCCGGUGCAACGCACGGGCCCUUUUACUAGUAUAAUAAUAAAUUGAAUACCUACUUUUAGGUCCUGUUUGAAACCAUUGAGAUUAUAUAAUCUAGUUUUUAUAAUCUUUUAUGUCUUCAAAUAGGAUAAAUUAUUAUGUAGAUUAUAAAAACUAGAUGGACAAGUUACUAAAAACUUAUAAUCUACUCUACCCGAACUAAAAUCAGAUUAUAGAUUGCUAAUGACCCAUUAUCCAUGUAAAAUUGAAGAUAAUUACAUUCCAAUCACUGCCACCCUCCUCUUUAAAAAAAUAGAGGACAGACAAGUCAUUAUACAAUGUAAAACCUGGAUUACAGUUUAUAUAAUCUGGUCUGCAAACAUGUCCACCUAGAUUACCCAUUAUCCAAGUAAAAUUGGAGAUAAUUACAUUCCCGCCACCGUCACCCUCCUCUUUUAAGAAAAAUAGAGGACAUGCAAGUCAUUAUGCAAUGUAAAACCUGGAUUACAAUUUAUAUAAUCUGGCCUCCAAACAUGUCCACCUAGAUUAUCUUUAUAAACCAGAUUAUAUAAUCUAUCUUCAUAAUCCAGAUUAUCAUAAUCUAUUGUGGUUCCAAACAGGGCCUUAGUGUAAUAUUUGCGCGCAAAAGUCACCGACGGUCUACUUAGUUUGACAUCGUAUUGUGAUUCAUCAAGCUCCUAUUCCGGUCCUAUAUUUUCCUUUUCUAUUUCUCAGAUGAUUAAUUUGCUAGAUUUCAGAUCAUAUUAUGCAUAAAAGCAGAGUAGAUAUUGCUCCAACGACUGAAUAAGCGAGGUAGAUUUUGUUCCCGAUAAGAGGUUCUGUUCUUCCUUGGUGCUUAAUUUGGAAGCAUUUGUCACCUCCACGAAAAUUCAAACUCUGCAAGCCAAAAAUAUUCAGGCUCCGAAAGCAACUCCGAGGGGCCGAGCCAGGGGCAGGCGCUUUGUUCUCCAAUAAUGAUAAAUUGAAUGCCUACUUUUAGUUCGACAGUGUAUUGUGAUUCACCAGGCUCCAACUCUUCCUGGUUACCACUAUGGAGGUGUUUGGUCCGCAGUUUUCCACCCGCUACCUGAUUACGUCGCAACCUCAUACCAUUAAUCUUGUUUGCUUGGCUCUGCCCGUAAACAAGGUCCCGCGUAAACAGAUCCCGGCGUUUUUUUAGCCUGAUUCCAUCCACCCCCCACCGUAAACAAAUUACUUUACAGCCAAAGCGAGGCGAGUUGAGGGACUCUUCCAGCCCCCGAUCCCCAACCCUUGGCGCCCACUCAUGAGUCGGGGUUGAAGCUAGUUGGCUGCCUAGACGUGGGGUCCCUGUUUUGUCGUCGGUAUUCAUUAGCGUUACAACAGUUAACUAAACAAGAAUUGAUUUUAGACCAUACCAUUUACAUUAGCGGUGUAAACCCAUUACGUUUACGUUUAUGUUACACUUCUGAAACCAAACACCUCCUAUAUAUAACCACAAUAAAAUGGCCAAAGUAAGCGGCUUUAUCAUAUAUCCAUGUAGGAAAGAGAAGACGAAACCGACGUGUAAAUGGGGUCCCAAAUCGUUGGGCAAUUCGUGACGUUUGGUCUCUCCACCGCAUGUGCGCAAUUCGUGGCUUCGUUUUAAGCAUGGACAUAUUUGUGUGUCAGAAUGGGACAUCUUCCUACCAGCAUAGGGACAUGAUGGAUCAGAAUUAAUGGGGCACGGUGCACACACGCGUCCAGGCCGGGAUGGCACUGGAUGGAUAUCAGGGUCUCGCGUAUUCACACAUUUUCGGCACAGCCACAUACUGAUCUAUCAGGCAUAUUAUACCUAGCAGCCAGUACGUGCUGCGAGGCCGAUCUUGCUGGCUAUAAAAUGCCCCCGGUCAUUCCAGAGAGGGUGCACGGCAAUAUUGGGCAAGAUCAUAGAGAGAAGAACCAGCCAUGGACACCACCAAGAGGUGCAUUGCCACAGUCAUCGUGCUGAUGCUCUGCCUCCAGCUCCACACCUCCGCGGACGCCCGCCGCCUCUCCUCCGGCGGCGGCGAGAUCCGGCUUCCAAGCGACGGCAAAGGUUGGUGGCCGUGUUUGAAUGAAACGCAUGCCAUUGUUGUCCAAAAAUACUCUUGAUUUUUCAACUCCCACCGUUUUUAAAUAUAAGUAUUUUUAAGUACUUCUUUCGUACCUGAAUAAUUGUAGUUGGGAGUAUUACACUAAAGACUAUUUUUUCUAGUAUAAUUCUUCCCAACUACUAUUACUUAGGUACAAAAUUGGUACAUACGAAGCAAAAUAACUACUAUUAUUUAGGUUCAGAAUUGAUACAUACGAAGUAAAAUAAAUGAAUUUACAAUCUAAAAUAUGUCUAUAUACGUCUAUAUAUGAUCUGCAAUGGAACCUUUUAAAAAACUUAUAUUCAGAAACGAAUGGAGUAACUAAUAUGCCACGUGUGUAGACUAACCGUGUGCAUGAUUAACCUCAGAUGAUCCUACUGCUCAAGUCGGGGCGUCAAAGUUGAUCAAGAUAGACGACUCGUUCUAUACCAGCUGUCCGGACGGCAUGGUACUGGAGUGUAUACUCAUUGGAUUCGCCCCUUUUUGCAAGUGCGUGCCUAAAAAGGGUGCCGGCCUCACCGAUGGAUCCAUGCUUCCGAGCGACGGCAGAGGUUCGUGGCCGUGUUUGAAUGAAGGGAAAAUCUAACUAGCCGCGCCGUAUUUCAUGCUUACCGUGCGGCGGCUUGUCCUCAUGCGCGUAUCGCACGCACGACCAGUGAGCCAGCGCAACCGCACACUCCUCAACGCACUGUUGCUAUAGUACACCGCUACUUUCCACGGAAAACGUUCGUACUACCACAGAAUGUGUGAUCACUGUGCCCCAGAAAACAUCAGUGUUUGGCAAAGUACGCAUCGGCAUGGCUCUUUACAGUCAUCAUGUUUUUGCGGUAAGCAUGUUUAAUCCUUGCGACAGUGCUUUUUUCCAACAAAUCCACGUUGUUCUAUACAUCUCUAAAAUAUAAUGUUGACUAGUAAAUAAAUUCCAAUCUAAAAUAUACAACUAAGCACGAAACUAAGCUUCAAAAAUAGACAACUAAGUACUUGUAAUUUGGGCAACUAAAACAUAUUUAAUGACAACUAAGUAAUUUAAAUAUGACAACUAAAUAUGGUUAAAAUCUGGCAGCUAAGUCCGCAACCUAAAAUAUUCAUAUUGAAUACCAAGUACUUGUAAUCUGAUAAGUAUUUUAUAAUCUAGCAAAACAAGUACUAUUUGGUGGCUGCGCGUAAGCACCCCUGCAUCACAUGACGAGAUUUAUGAGACAACACGAUAAUUAGGUAGAAUUAAAAUAACAAGCUACUUAUUUUAAUCUGGAAACUAAGUAUUUUUCUAGCAUGGCAACUAAAAACUUUUUAAUCUGGAAACUAGGUAUUUUUGGCAACUAAGAACUCUUUAAUCUGAAAACAAGCUACUUUCUACAUGGCAAUUAAGAACUUUUUAAUCUGGAAAGUAGGUUUCUUUCUACCAUGGCAACUGAGAGCUUUUUAAUCUGAAACUUAGGUUUCUUUUCUACCAUGGCAACUGAGAACUUUUUAAUCUGAAACUUAGGUUUCUUUUCUACCAUGGCAACUAAGAACCUUUUUAAGCUGGAAACUACGUAUUUUUUCUAGCAUGGCAACUAAGACUUUUUAUCUAGAAACUACGUGCUUUUUCUAGCUUGGCGACUACGAACCUUUUAAGCUGGAAAUUAAGCGUUCUUCUAGCAUGGUAACUAAGUACUUCUAAGCAUUUUUUUUAGCAUGAUAACUAAGAAUGGGUAGUUUGGAGACUAAGCAUUUGCACGGUAAGUAAACACCUCUAAUCUGGAAACUAGGCACAUUUUAGCAUGUCAACUAAGCUCUUCUUGUAAUCUAGAAACUGAGCAAUUUUUAGCUUGGCAAUUAAUCACUUUUUCUUCCUUCAUUUUUUCACACUGACAGUGGUUAUAAGAUGCGUUGUCUAAUGAGAAAUUUGAUGUUUCUUUGGACAAAAGAAGCAGGUGCGAACGGUGAAAACGACAUGGCCAGUCUAGGAUAGAAUAAACGAGGAGCCAUGCAUGCAUGCGCUGUCAGCCUAGCAAGACGCGUACCAUACUUUUUCUCUGUUUGCAUGUGAGUAGCAUUUGGCUACCGGGCCGCCGCACGAGAACGCAAACAUGCGGCGCGUCCUUGAAUGAAACGCAUGCCAUUGUUGUUCAAAAAUACUCUUGAUUUUUCAACUCCCGCUGUUUUAAAUAUAAGUAUUUUUUUAAAUAUUUAUUCUGUAUCUAAAUAAUUGUAGUUGGAGAGGACUAGUUUUUUCCAACUAUAAUUCUCUAGGUACAGAGGGAGUAUUACGCUAAAGACUAUUUUUUCUAGUAUAAUUCUUCCCAACUACUAUUUUUUAGGUACAUAAAGGAUACAUAGAAAGCAAAAUAAACGAAUUUACACUCUAAAAUAUAUUUACAUAUGUCCAUAUAUGAUAUGUAAUGGAACCUUUUAAAAAACUUAUAUUUAGAAACGAAUGGAGUAACUAAUAUGCUACGUGGGUAGACUAACCGUGUGCAUGAUUAACCUCAGGUGAUCCUGCUGAUCAAGUCGGGGCGUCAAAGUUGAUCAACAUAGAGGACUCAUUCUAUACCCCCUGUCCGGACGGCAUGGUACAGAAGUGUAUAUUCGUUGGAACCACCCCUUUUUGCGGGUGCGUGCCUAAAAAGGGUGCCGGCCUCACUGAUGGAUCCAUGUCGUCGACGGCGAACAAGCCGGGGAACAAGGACUAGGACGAUGUCGACGUGGGCGCCGGUAACUAGCUAGCAUUUGCGCCCGUACGUGUGCCAUAUACCAUACGUCAAGCAAUGGUAAUAAGGUCCAGCACAUAUGGUAGCAUGGACACCCUUCCCGUCUUAUUGUACUACUAGCUUGUACACAUGUGCGUUUAUAUACAUGUUGUAUUUUUUAGCUCCUGUGUAUGCAUGCUUUUAUACACACAGAUGUACGGAGUAGGAUAUAACCUCCGUUUUAUAUUACUUAUAAUGGAAUAAUGGUUAAUUACUACGCACGGCCACCCUUUUUUAGCCAGUCACUCCAUUGAUUUCAUUCCAUGUCAUCGUCUGCCGACGGAACAACCUCCGUUGGCAUAGUUUGUUUGCUAAAGAAAAAUGCAGAACAAAUACAGCAUGCCAACGUCCCCAAAGUUCGCUCUCAACGAUGCAGAACAUACGAGCCGUUCCAUGUGAAAUUUCUACGGUAUUUAUCCUUCCAACUUAUGAAACAGACGUUGCAUAUCUUGGCAGCAUAAACUCGAACACAAACACAAAACCAUAAGCCACCCACCGCGCACACACCCUGCAGCUACAGAACGACAGCAAGAGUGAAGUCAACUGAACUGGAAACUAUAUAUUUUUUCACCUCACCAAUGAGAGUAAAAUCACUUCAACUGUUAACAGUCCAGUACAUCGGCAAGGCACGCACGAUACAACAACAUGAAUGAUAUCGCCCAGAUUUCUGGCAAUAAUUCCCCUACCAAGAUCACACAAACCUGAUACAUGAAGAACGAACCACGAUUUCCAAAAAUUAGACAGCACCUGCCAGCCACGUCGCCAGCCCCAUCGUCGUUUCUUCUAGGGAAGCAGGGCAGCUCAAGGCAGAUUACAAACAUCAUCAGACUACCAGAGACAGAGAGAGAGUCACUGGCUGGGACUCUGUCGGAAAACUGUACACUGACCAGAGGCAAGAAUCAACGGGAGGCGAAUCGGCGAAUGGCAUUCCCCCCAGCCUCUGUCUCAAGUCUAAAAAAACCGAAGCUAACAGUUGGUCUAACGCUAGUUUAUCAAAUCAAUGGAGAGGCGGCCGCCCAUGCUCGCUGAAGCUGCCUCUUGACCAGUGAGACGGGGAGAGCUUCCUGAUUUGCAGAGGGGCUGAUCUACUCUGGGGUGCUCGUUUUUGUACACGGGCGCCUGUCAACGCUACCGAGUAAGGGUCACCUUCGCGCUCCUGCCUCGCUUCUAUUCGGCCAGAGCUGUACUCCAUGUUUAUGAACGGUGAGGGAUUCCGGUAGUCUAGGCACCCGGAAGCCCCGCUGUUCCACCAGCUACCGCUACCACUGUCAAAGACAAAGCCGCCCUGGAGGUCGUCGUCCGGGUCACAUGAUGAUUCCCUGUGGCUGUAGGAAUCGCCGACGGCCUCCUCCGCGUCAUUGUAAAUCAGCUUCAGUGCCUGGACUACUUCACCCAUGAAUGGCCUCUGUGAUGGAUCACUGUGAACGCACACCGAAGCGAUGGAUGCCACUUUGGCUACGUUGUCGAAAUUGUAGUUGCCAUUCAUAGAAGGGUCGAUCAACCUCUCCAAACCCUCCUUAUUGCCUAGAAGAGGACGAGCCCAAGUAACAAGGUUCUCAGGAUCCAUGUUGUCGGACAUGCCUACGGGCUUCCUUCCUGAUAAAAGCUCCAGCAACACAACCCCAUAACUGUAGACAUCGCUCUUGACAAGAAGAUGCCCUGUCAUGGCAUACUCUGGAGCAACAUACCUGCAUGAUCAAUAGAGAAAUUUUACCUUUUGAAAGCCAAGGAUAAUUAGAAUAUAAUUAAGACAAGCUACUCUUGAGCAAAUUUAUGUACCGAAAUUCAUAUAGCUUUAGAGAAGUGUAAUUCGUGAACAAUCCUACCAAACAUUAUUUAUGGAAGGCAGUAUUAAUCACAAAGAGACAAAUCAUUCGAUCACAGCGUCACAAAAUACCCAAAUAAAGUGCUAUAUAAUCAUUUGUUUUUAUUAAUAAUGUGUAUUGACGAUAUUAUAGGGGCUGGACACAAGCGAAGUUUCUUACCCGAAAGUCCCCAUUACCCUCGUGGAAAUGGGAUUGAUUCCAUUGGUUGCUUCCCUUGCUAAACCAAAAUCAGUAACCUUUGGAGUGAAAUCUUCCUCCAGCAAUAUAUUGCUACCUUUGAAGUCCCGGUGUAUAACAUGAGGGUUUGAAUCUUCAUGUAGGUACGCCAAGCCUCUAGCAGCACCCAAAGCAAUUUUCAUCCUGACAUCCCAGUUCAGCAUGCCCUUAUCCUUAUCAGCACCUAGGCAUACAAAAGAUCAGAUUAACACAAAGAGUCAGCUAAGUCCACACACUCCUAAUCCUGGCUUACAUGUGACAGCGAUAAUUAUGAAGCCAAUUUUGUUUUCUAAGGCAGUGCACUGCUUUCUUUGAGGCAUAUCACUGGAGAAGUUCAGGUGCUAGAUUAGUAACGCUGGUUGAUCUUGUUUCAUCCAUGUAAUUCUCUUCAGCCAUAUCACUAGUGAGAUGCCUUUUGGUAUUCCAUGGAGCCCGGAUUUUCAUAAAGCAAAAAUGGUAUAUUUCAAAGUUUUAAUAAAAUGAAAAUUUUCUACGAGUACAUAUGGAUGUUCUCUGUGUACCUGUAAAAUUUCAUUAAAUAACCCGAUAUAUUGUACACUGCCCAAAAAAGACAAAAAUCCGGAUUAAAAACUAAAAAAUACAAGCCCAUUUUGUUCAUGUAUUUGUCUUUUUUGUAUACAUCACAAACAAAUAUGUAUAUUGAUAAAAAAUAGUAGAGAUACACUCCACAUCUAUAUAUACACUGACAAAAAAACAAACAGAUUUUUUUGGGCUAUAAAAGUUAUAAUAUUUUUUAACUUCUCUUCAUCGUCCUCCCUGGAACCCGUCCUCCAAAGCGAUUUUCUGAACUUUGAAGUACUAUAACUAGAAUAGCAGCUGGUCCUACCAAUCUAUGCUUAGGGAAAAGAAAAUUUGGACCAGCCUCGUCUAGUCAUUCUAUUACAAGAAACUUGAACACUUGGUUAAAUAUUUCCAUUUUGGCUGCUAUGCCUUAAUAUGUACGAAUUUCAUGUCAUUACUUCAAUAGUUAAGACUUGCCAAACAUAGCAUGUGUUACUAAUAUUUAGAACAUACCAUGGAGAUGGGAUUCCACACUUCCAUUUCGUAUAAGCUCGUAAACAAGACACCUUUUUGCACGUUCGGUGCAAAUGCCAAUCAAUUUGACAAGAUUACGAUGGUGCAAUCGACUGAGCAUUUCCACCUCCGCAAUGAACUCGCGGUCACCACUCCUGUCCUCUCUUGUCAGCAUUUUAACAGCAAUCUCGUUUCCAUCAUCCAUGGUCCCAUGAUAAACACGUCCAAACCCACCUUGACCCAAAACUCUUCUUGAACUAAAACCAUCAGUGGCCUUUUCAAGCUGUGCAAGCGAAAAUGUCUUUACCGAUGCUGCACAUGUGGCCACUGUUGAGAGCAUUGACGCUGAUACAGAGCUCACCAUGCUAGUUGACUGAGAUCUGCCACCUGUGUACCACAAAUUAAGUUGUUAGCAUAACUGCCAUUACUAGCAAUUUUUUGUUGUUAUAUAAACGGGGGGUUAUGGUUUUCAAAAGUUCAUGUCGCAUGCAUACAAAGUGACAUUCUUCUUUCGCAAUAGGGGGUAACUAACAAAUAUUAAAAUGGUUAUUUCCAGGCAGCAUUACAUAAGCACAUAGUAUAUGAGAACUCUAGACAAAUUUUUUUUUUUACUAAUUUUGGAUUUAGGCAAAUUUAUAGACAGAACUGCCCAAUUGUUCUGCCUCACUGAUAAGUGCAACUCUGAUUACCAAUAUCUAUGUGGUAAUAGAAAGGGGAAAUAUUAUCCACCGGCAGUGGCGUAGCUGGGGGGGGGGGGGUCCAUGGACCACCCUGAAAUUUAUCUACAGCCUAUAUAUUAUAGCAAAAAAUGAGUAAAAUUUAAUGUGGGUAAUUAAAUACAAAUGGAAGUUUUACUAUUGGACCACCCUGGAUUAUUGAGCUGGCUACGCUACUGUCCACCGGUACAUAAUAUAAAGAUCUCUAUUGCCCACAUGAAGAUGAUCUUAACGUGGUUAAAGGGAGAAGUUCCCUCCCUUAAGGCCUAGUUCGGUUAAUCCUUUCCUGCGGGGAUUGGAGGGGAUUUGCAGGGAUUUUGGCUUGUAGGGGAUUUAAUCCCCCUCAAUCCCCUUCAAAUCCACCUCAACUGAACAAGCCCUAAAUGUACGUUGUCAUGUAGAAACGAGGAACCCUGCAGAGGUUGUGCCUCGAACGCGGGUGGGGUGAGCUCACGGGUGUAUGUGCCUAACCAACCGGACACUACUUGGUUCUCAAGAUGAUCGUAACAGAUUCUUGUAUAAAGCCAUCAAAUGUCCGUGUGUUGCUACAGUGGUAAAAAAACUUAUACUGUAUAUUUAGGGAUGCCUUUAAUUUUACCAUCUUGUGCCAUAUCAAGUCAUUCAUAUCCGCCCCUAACAAGUUGUGCCAAAUCCAACAUGUAAUGUAACCCAAAGGUGAACAGACCGUCACCACAAUUGGCGGCAUAUUUAUGGGAGUAUAGAUACUUUACAUAGUAUCAUGUUUUUUAUGCUUUUAAGUUUUAACUAGCCUAUUUUUGUAAGAAAAAUGAUCAAGGUUGUAUCCAGAAGACCAUCUAAAACAAAAGAAUCAGGAACAAUGCUUUCUUCACUCUUUGGUAACGGGUGUACGUAGGUAAAUUUGAUCUAUCAGGGAAAUAAUUGAAAUAUCAUUUGUGCACAGCCAGCAAGAACCAUCUAUUAAAGGAUUCUAACAUUGCCCAUCAGGUUUUAAAAUAUUUGUACAAUGGUAAAAGUAGUAAUAACAGUAAUAAAUGGCAUACUUAACGACAACAAAAGCUGUCGAUUUUACCAUGUCUUCUUUUAACUGACGGGGUGAUCACAGGGUUCCCAGCCUCAUGAAAACGCUUAAGUUUCUUCCAUUUGACUAUUAAGAUAAUGAGCCCAAUGCAUGCCACAAUUAGUACCAGAGAGGACCCUGCAACUACCACGAUGAUCCAGCUAUCUAAUUUCUUAUUUUGAUGGUGCACAUCUGCGGUUAUAGGAUAUUCUCCAUUUCCUGGAGGACCUGACGUAAGAGAUGACAUAGCUGGUGGUGCAGGUCCCAGCCCUGCAGUGAUAACAUUGCACAUAUAAAUCAUAAAUUCAAGUAACUCACCUAAGAAGCAAAUACUCCACAUAAAUGUUUCUUACCUGGAUAGGUAAUGUUUAUAACCUCGUAAGCUCCAAAAACAGAUGAAUUAAUCUGAACCUUUUUAUUCCAGAACCUAUCCGAUAUUAGGGAUGCAGUAUAGCUAUCAAAAUGCUCUCUUAGUGGCACCAAAUAAAAGGUGACUCUUGUCUUCUGGUCAUCUUCGAUACUUGGAAUAGCAGCCAUAAUCUUCACUUGGCUCUGUUUAAGAAAUGUGCCAGCUGCAACUUCAACUUCCAAUUCUGCCGUGUGCAUGAAUAGUAAAUAUGGAGCUACAGCAAUGUCAACAAUAACACUAAGGGGCAGCACACAGCCACAGGGGGAACCAAUCGGUGUUGAACUCAUGGGCUCGGGGCAAACAGUGCUAGAGCAACCUGCUGAAGGUACAAAAGAAAACUAUUCAACACAAAAAUUUACAACAAAGCAAACAAGCUUAUACUUAGAUCAACAAUUAGUCUGCAUGUCAACAGAAGCAGUACUAAGAAGAAUAGUCCACAGAGGGAUGGAUAAUAUCGGGGAUUAGGUGAAGUAACUCAAGGAUGCAGUAUGAAAUUGUAAACAUAAAUGGCAAACCUUCAGGUGGGAGAGAUAGGGAUGGCGGAGGGGCAUGGUGUGGUCGUCUGUGGUGUUUGUGUGAAUGGACAGCGAUACCUGUAAGAAUAGCAGAUAUUAAAUAACAAAUAGUUUAUUGAAAACUUUAAGCAUGAACUUUUAGCACCGACGUUGUCACGGUUACAUACCAGGAGAUCUUGGAGACAGUACCCCAGGAGAAAAUGCCGGGGAAAUUCGAGGUCCAAACACUCUUGUUUCAGGGGGAUUUGACGGAUGUGGCGCUGGGCUAGGCUGUAUGUUUGCUGGAGAACGGAAGGUAUUAAGUUCACAUUUGACAGAAACGAAUUGCAAAAUCUGAUAAGAGAAAAACCUCUACCUACCAUAUGGCUAGCAUCGUGUUCAGAUUAACAUAUACAGUUUCAAAUGGUUACUUCAAGAAAGCUCAGGCGCACUGUACAAUCAUACAUUUCCAUUUGCGGCCUAUAUAGCCAAUGCCCGUUGGCAGUUUCUGUUUCUAAAAUAAGAGUGUAUGAACUGGAAAGAUAAUAAACCAUUUUCUAGAAGUUUUGUUCUGCGUCUGUAAAUGUUUGAAUUCUGCAUAUAUUCUCAAUUUAUCAUACUUGUGUUUCAAAAUUUUACAUCACAGUGACACUUUUUAUUCCUCGUACAUGGAAACAAAACAUGAAAUGUUUUCUCAGCGCAUGCUGCCGUGCCAUGCAUUUUUUGGAGUUUGGUGAAAGUUAGCAUUUCACUCAAGUUCUAGCGGUUGGUUAGGAGGCACUGGCGUGGGUGAGUUGUGUGUGUAUGGUGGUGUCGCUGGUGUGUGUUCACGUGUGCGUCAUCCUUGUAAUCGCCAAAAAAAUGGCCUCAUGGUCAAGCUAAGAGCACGAGAGACACCAAGUGCAUUAACUACUCCAGAAAGUAACGGCGUUAGUAAUGAACUCUGAGAAUGGCUGCCAAAUUUGUACCCGAACGUGUCCGAUACGUUUUGGCAGAUAUCAGAACGUAUCCAACUAUUCAGGCGUAUCUAACCCCUGAUACGCUAGUUUCCUGCCGUAUCCAUGCAACUUAGCUGCCAAUCAAGAGGGGCCAUCAUACUACACUCAGGUUUUGUCGAUAGUGUCACCGGGGUGGAAGAAUACAACUAUAAAAGGUGGUACCACAGAUUUAGUUAAGAGAAGACCGUCAAGCAUUACUUGCAAGCAAAGCAAGUGUUGGCUGAGUGUUGAGAGACGAUACUACAGGUCGGAUUUGAACUACUUAUAGGCGCGCCUUUCUACCUUAAGGUUUUGUGCCAUGGUCUCUUGGCUGGUUGUGUCACACAGAUGGGCACGCCCCUGUUUUACGCUCACUACAAACAAACGCAAAUUAGACUCUAACAUGCAUUUCCAAUGUUAAUGGAGCACUCCAACAGCAGUGGGAGCACAAACUGUCCACCAGUCCCAUCCCAUCCAUGCCUCCUUGGCACAAGGAACAAGCAGUGGCAGCCAUUGUCACCUGUUACUUUCAGGCAUGAGAAAACAAUGGCAGGCUAAAACCACCUUCCCUCUCACAGAAAAAUAAUGGCAGGCUAAAACACACAGCUCCAGACUCAUGUACCCAGCUCGCCCACACCUUGCUGGAUCCUUCCCCGGGUAGUCAAAACCAUCGACCAUGGCAGAAUCUAGAAAUAACACUGUCCAGAAUACCCUCUGUCCUCUGAUAGACAGCAGAAUUCCCCUAAUAAUAGACGGCGCUCGCACACGGACCGACAGAACCCCCACCCGAACCCCAAUUCCCAGCUUCCCCCAAUCGCCCAGAGCACGCGACAGCAACGUCGCAUCUUGCUGCUGCUUCUGCUGCUGCUAUGUCCGUCGUCCACUCCACAGGCUAGUGACGAGGAGCUGGAAUUCGCACCGAAAAUGCCGCCCCCACGGGCGCAAGCAGCCCCACGCCCUCCCUCCCUCCCUCCCUCCAAACCCCACCCCACCCAACCCAACCCGGAGNNNNNNNNNNNNNNNNNNNNNNNNNNNNNNNNNNNNNNNNNNNNNNNNNNNNNNNNNNNNNNNNNNNNNNNNNNNNNNNNNNNNNNNNNNNNNNNNNNNNCUCGAUCGGCUCGGCCUCAGGCGCGCGUGCGGUGAGGAGUGGCGGUGUGUGUGGCGCGGAGGAGGCUGCUCCUCCUCUCGUAGUGGGGCUGGGAGGAUGUGGUGGACACCGGUGGGUUUGGUUGGUUGCCUCUCGUCGCGCCAACGAGGAGCGGACAUGUCACGCUCACACCAGACAAGUGGCUCCCGAUGUGGCCGCGGCUGGGCUUCUCAAGCAGUCAAGCUCGUGACGGCGACUUCCGGCACGACUCACGAAGACGUGGCGGUGAGCCGGACCGUCAAGCAGCUGCUCCGGUAGCGCCGCACAUGGAGCCCUGCGGUGCUCGGGUCCAUGAACGGCAACCGGCAGCCGUUGCUUUAUUUGCUACUUGCUCCAGUGAUUGAGCACAUAAGCAGAUUAAUCUUCCAUCAGCACUUGCACUUCUAGCAGUGAUUUUACUCCUGUUUUAGACUAUAACCAAUACUUAUAUUUCAGUAUUGUUUUCUGUUGAGUACCAAUGUAUUCGAGAUCUUAAGUUGAUGUAAUAUGUUUCCACGUUUAUCACGUGUCGAGAUUAAUUACGUCCAUUUGCAAUUGAGAUUUUUAAUCUCUUGCAAAGAUAAAUUCAGUACAUCUACAGUACUGAUUUGCGAUUGAAAAUUUUAUUCUUCCGCAAAACAAUCUCAUUGUGGUUGAGAUUAAUCUCUCUCGCGAAACAUAUUAAUUCACCAUGGUUAAUUAUCUUGCAAUUUGAUACAAGAUCAUCUCAUUUAAUAUGAAGUCUAUACAAUUCAAGUUUUUCACUUGAUCAUCAAGUUUGCAACAUCAUUACUAUUCAUUACAAUAGUAGUGUAUAUCUGUAGAGUACAUUGUAUUCCAGAAUAAAUUGUGAUGUAAUAAAUUUCCAUGUUAUUCUAUAUGUCGAGAUUAUUUACAUCUGUUAUUUGCAAUUGAGAUAUUCAAUUUCUUGCAAAUAAAAAUCAAUUCAUUUUAAUUGAGCCAUUGGCUUGAUACGAGCAAGAAUUGAUAUCCAAAUUCUUAGUGUUGUUUUUCAAAUUGAUAUUUUGAGAAUCACAAGGUAGUGUGUAGAUCUACCGCUUUGCAGAUCAUCACCACUACUAUUAAAGCCUGCAUUUUGUCACUUUGACAAUAUGAUUGCUUUACAAAAUGUCCUCCCCACAUAUUUCACUAAGUCAUGACAUAAGGCAUUACGAGUGAGUAUAUACUGAUUUCAUCGGAUUAUACUCCCUAGUGCUGCGAGAUCCACUCCAUUUUGAAGAUUAUCUUCAAAGUGUCAUACUUAGCAAUUUGAGAUUCACGUUAAUGGUCUCAAGAUAACUUCUUGAAAUACUCAUUAAUUUUGCUAAGCUCACUACAACAUUAACCAUGGUAGUCUUUAAUUUACUAACCGUAAAUUAAUUAUCUCUCGUAACUGAUGGCUAGAGAAUUUGAGGCAUUCGCGCCUCAAUAGCCACCACUGCCUUUCCAUGGGCCAAGGAAAUUAUGAUCACUCUUGAGUCUCGUGGGAUAAUGUGUGAAAUCCAAAACUGUAAGAUUUAUCUAUGGUCAGGAUCACACCGCUAACAGAAAAAUGUUGUCUUAUACAUAAUAAGGCGUUAUAUUGGUUCAGGUCUUAGCAUCUGGUUAUUCCGUAUCAACAAUUCCUGGGCACAAUGAACCUCAAGGGCAAAGGCUUGAAGCUCACUUCAACCUUCAACCUGACAUCACUAAUGAUGACGGAUCCUAUGUGCAUGGAGAAUGUGUGGUUCAUUAUGCCUCAACCGACAUGUUUGGAGAUUAUGAGUAGUCUCUCAAUCUCAAUGUACAAAUACAUUUGUAUGUAUUCUAUAUAUCCGACAGUGAAUUUUUGAGAAUCAUCAUGCCUAUAUAUAGAUUUCUACGAGGGUCAAUCUGAUGAAAGAUGAAUUGUGCAUUAUGGACAUAUGCGCCACGGACUCUAUACUCAGGAAAGUCCAAUGUUUUCACUCUCGUUGAGAGAAAGGAGAUAUUUUAAAAUCGCUAGACGUGAUGAGGUAUUUGUUGGCUCAACUUGAGUCAUAUUUACUAUCCCUGUGGGUACUCGAGUAACGUCGGGAUGCUUUAUUGCUUCCCAGAUUUAACUCGUACCCUACUAAACUAUAGAGGUAUCCGUCAAAAUAGUUCCCAUAGCGAAACUUAUGAUGACAGCAACGAAUAUGGCAGGCAAAUUUUUUAUGUAUCAUCUGAAUUGUACUACACAUACGACACAACCCGUAGCACAUGUUGCGUAUGAGAUAGUUUUCCAGAGUAUCUUGUACAUGACAAACUUGGCAUUCUCGCCUUGGUCAUCGAGAUAUUGGGUUGAAAGCGAAAGUAUCACCAAUUCCAAUAGUUUAUGAUUAUUAUGAUGCUAAAUUCUAACAGUAUUUGGAUUUUGUGUGCACUACAUGUGACACAAGGAAGCUAAUUUUAAGGCUCGCGCACCUUAAAGUCUAUGCUGAACCACUCAGACUCCUUGAAUGCAUCAAGUCGAGGUAAGUGGCUCUUCCCAUCCAUUGACUAGACCAUUUAGGUAUUCCAUGGUUCUAAAAGCCAUAUCUAUAUGAUUGUCUCAAGUGUGAUUUAUUCACAUGAAACCAUUGGUGAUGGGAAACGUCGCAUGGGAAACAAAAAAAAAA